AUUGAACGCUGGCGGCAUGCCUUACACAUGCAAGUCGAACGGUAACGCGGGGCAACCUGGCGACGAGUGGCGAACGGGUGAGUAAUAUAUCGGAACGUGCCCAGUAGUGGGGGAUAGCCCGGCGAAAGCCGGAUUAAUACCGCAUACGACCUACGGGUGAAAGCGGGGGAUCGCAAGACCUCGCGCUAUUGGAGCGGCCG
rnacentral:rRNA from 1 species